rnacentral:misc_RNA from 1 species
GUUGCCUCUGUGUUUGUAGUUGUGGCCUUUCUAGUGACAUCUGAGGUGCAUGUAGGCUAAUAGUUCUUUGUUGUACAUUAGCUAUAGGCAUUUGCGAAGAUCGAAUAUUACCAUAUGUUACACCUUGGAUUCUUGCUGCAGUGGCACUCUGUUGAUUGUAUUCCGUCGAUCCAGAGAAAAAGUAAUUAUUUCUAUUUACUGCUGGUUCUGAGGCGGCAGAUGAUUGUGAAUGCAUAGGAUUUGCAAGGACCGUCUGGUUUAUACGAGGAUUUAGCAGAGAUGGUCGAUGAUCAUUUCCAUAAGACCCUGCAGCUUCCUGA